GGCCCAAAUUUGAAGUAGAGUAGAUUAGUAUGAUCAGCUGAUCUUAGUAAUCUGCUCUUCUUCAUGUUUGUGCCC
rfam:Haemonchus placei strain MHpl1 genome assembly, scaffold: HPLM_scaffold0003966